GACGAGGCUCACGAACGUUAUUCGGAAUUACUGGGCUUAAAGGGUGCGUAGGCUGUGCGGAAAGUUGGGUGUGAAAUCCCUCGGCUCAACCGAGGAACUGCGCCCAAAACUACCGUACUCGAGGAAGAUAGAGGUGAGCGGAACUUACGGUGGAGCGGUGAAAUGCGUUGAUAUCGUAAGGAACACCCGUGGCGAAAGCGGCUCACUGGGUCUUUUCUGACGCUGAUGCACGAAAGCUAGGGGAGCAAACGGG
rnacentral:rRNA from 1 species